rnacentral:ncRNA from 2 species
AAACGGAUACAGAACUGGCGGAUCGUGGAAUAACCACAAGGGACUGUAUCUUGAAUUAGCCGACCGCCUGGGCAUAACUU